rnacentral:rRNA from 1 species
AGAUUAAGUUAUUAAGGGCGCACGGUGGAUGCCUUGGCACUAGAAGCCGAUGAAGGACGUUACUAACGACGAUAUGCUUUGGGGAGCUGUAAGUAAGCUUUGAUCCAGAGAUUUCCGAAUGGGGAAACCCAGCAUGAGUUAUGUCAUGUUAUCGAUAUGUGAAUACAUAGCAUAUCAGAAGGCACACCCGGAGAACUGAAACAUCUUAGUACCCGGAGGAAGAGAAAGAAAAUUCGAUUCCCUUAGUAGCGGCGAGCGAAACGGGAAGAGCCCAAACCAAAAAGCUUGCUUGUUGGGGUUGUAGGACACUCUAUACGGAGUUACAAAGGACGACAUUAGACGAAUCAUCUGGAAAGAUGAAUCAAAGAAGGUAAUAAUCCUGUAGUCGAAAAUGUUGUCUCUCUUGAGUGGAUCCUGAGUACGACGGAGCACGUGAAAUUCCGUCGGAAUCUGGGAGGACCAUCUCCUAAGGCUAAAUACUCUCUAGUGACCGAUAGUGAACCAGUACCGUGAGGGAAAGGUGAAAAGCACCCCGGAAGGGGAGUGAAAUAGAACCUGAAACCGUGUGCUUACAAGUAGUCAGAGCCCGUUAAUGGGUGAUGGCGUGCCUUUUGUAGAAUGAACCGGCGAGUUACGAUUUGAUGCAAGGUUAAGCAGUAAAUGUGGAGCCGUAGCGAAAGCGAGUCUGAAUAGGGCGUUUAGUAUUUGGUCGUAGACCCGAAACCAGGUGAUCUACCCUUGGUCAGGUUGAAGUUCAGGUAACACUGAAUGGAGGACCGAACCGACUUACGUUGAAAAGUGAGC